GAUGAAGAACGUAGUGAAAUGCGAUAAGUAAUGUGAAUUGCAGAAUUCAGUGAAUCAUCGAGUCUUUGAACGCACAUUGCACCCCCUGGUAUUCCGGGGGGCAUGCCUGUCCGAGCGUCAUUGCUGCCCUCAAGCACGGCUUGUGUGUUGGGCUCCGUCCCCCCGGGGACGGGCCCGAAAGGCAGCGGCGGCACCGAGUCCGGUCCUCGAGCGUAUGGGGCUUUGUCACCCGCUCUGUAGGCCCGGCCGGCGCCAGCCGACAACCCAUCAUCCUUUUCAGGUUGACCUCGGAUCAGGUAGGGAUACCCGCUGAACUUAAGCAUAUCAAUAAGCGGAGGA
rnacentral:misc_RNA from 1 species